rnacentral:rRNA from 1 species
GAUGAACGUUGGCGGCGUGCCUAAUACAUGCAAGUCGAACGGAGAUUGUAGCAAUACGGUCUCAGUGGCGAACGGGUGAGUAACGCGUUGGUGACCUGCCCCGAAGUGUGGAAUAACAGAUCGAAAGAGCUGCUAAUACCGCAUAAUAUCCAGAGGACUAGAUGCCUUUGGAUUAAAGGAUUUAUUCGCUUCGGGAGGGGCCUGCGUCCCAUCAGCUAGUUGGUAAGGUAAAGGCUUACCAAGGCUAUGACGGGUAGGGGACCUGAGAGGGUGGCCCCCCACAAUGGAACUGAAACACGGUCCAUACACCUACGGGUGGCAGCAGUAGGGAAUAUUAGUAAUGGGCGAAAGCCUGAACUAGCAACGCCGCGUGUGCGAAGAAGGCCUUGGUGUUAAGCACUUUUGUAGAGGAUGAGGAAGGACGGUACGUCUCAGAAUAAGUACUCGGCUAACUACGUG